CUGCAGACUUGGUUGAGGCAUUUAUCAAGAUAAUAGAGGAGAAGGCUGACACGAUUGAUAAGGUAGAUCAUUUGGAAAUAUGGAUGCCCUCCACCGCCAGCGAGCAAUCUGUGAACUACUUGGCUCAAGCUUGAUGGCGAGGCACAUGCUGGACAAAUUACGCGUCAUUAAAGGGCUGCAUUACUUUGAGGAGCUUUAUGGCAGCUCAGAGUGUUAGCUUUGAAUAGUUUUGGGUUAAAUUUCAU